rnacentral:rRNA from 1 species
UUUGACCUCGAUCAAGUAGAUCCCG